CUACGGGCCGCUGCAGUGGGGAAUAUUGGGCAAUGGGCGCAAGCCUGACCCAGCAACGCCGCGUGAGGGAAGAAUGUCUUCGGAUUGUAAACCUCUGUCCUUGGGGACGAAAAAAAUGACGGUACCCAAGGAGGAAGCUCCGGCUAACUACGUGCCAGCAGCCGCGGUAAUACGUAGGGAGCAAGCGUUGUCCGGAAUUAUUGGGCGUAAAGGGUGCGUAGGCGGCGCUGUAAGUCAGAUGUGAAAUCCCCGGGCUUAACUCGGGAGCUGCAUUUGAAACUACAGUGCUUGAGUAAAGAAGGGGUAAGUGGAAUUCCUAGUGUAGCGGUGGAAUGCGUAGAUAUUAGGAGGAACACCAGUGGCGAAGGCGACUUACUGGUCUUUUACUGACGCUGAGGCACGAAAGCGUGGGGAGCAAACAGGAUUAGAUACCCUGGUAGUC
rnacentral:rRNA from 1 species